rnacentral:rRNA from 1 species
GGAGGACCGAACCGACUACCUUUGAAAAGUUAGCGGAUGACCUGUGGAUCGGAGUGAAAGGCUAAUCAAGCUCGGAGAUAGCUGGUUCUCCUCGAAAGCUAUUUAGGUAGCGCCUCGGACGAACACCAUUGGGGGUAGAGCACUGUUUCGGCUAGGGGGUCAUCCCGACUUACCAAACCGAUGCAAACUCCGAAUACCAAUGAGUACUAUCCGGGAGACAGACUGCGGGUGCUAACGUCCGUAGUCAAGAGGAAAACAAUCCAGACCGCCAGCUAAGGCCCCAAAAUUAUAGUUAAGUGGGAAACGAUGUGGGAAGGCAUAGACAGCUAGGAGGUUGGCUUAGAAGCAGCCAUCCUUUAAAGAAAGCGUAAUAGCUCACUAGUCGAGUCGGCCUGCGCGGAAGAUGUAACGGGGCUCAAACCAGGUACCGAAGCUACGGGUAUCACUUAGGUGAUGCGGUAGAGGAGCGUUCUGUAAGCCUGUGAAGGUGAGUUGAGAAGCUUGCUGGAGGUAUCAGAAGUGCGAAUGCUGACAUGAGUAACGACAAUGCGAGUGAAAAACUCGCACGCCGAAAGACCAAGGGUU